rnacentral:lncRNA from 1 species
CAUGCAUCCCAGGUGAAUCGCGGCUCACAAAACAAAUGCUAAGGGUCCAUGUGAAGGGAGUGGUCCACGGGUCCAUGGCAUUUAUUCACGGUCAGCAACCACACAAAAUGGGAAAAGUCAACUUGAUACAAAUGGGUUAGCCCAUUUGAUCAUAAGUUAGUCUAUUUGGUUCUAAACCAAAUUUGCAGCCCAUUUGAAUGAAUUUUUGAUCCGAAAAAAUUCCACAUGAGUCUGACUCAUAGGAGAUUCAAUUGGGUCUAGUUUCGUCUCGAUCCAAGUCCGACUUAGAUCAGAAAAAAUACGAAAUUAAAUCCCAAUUAAAUCAUGAUCGAGCCUAAUUACACUAAUUUAGACCCAAUCAAAUCCAAUCUCAACAAUUGAGUCCUGAUCAAGUUCAAUUAUAUUAAUUAAAACUUGAUUGACCCGAAAUACAGACUUAAUUAGUUGUUCAUCCAUGAAAUUUAGCAUGUACCUCAUGUUCAGUGCUAGCUGAACAUAGACAGAGCCAAAUUCCAAAUGACCCAUAAUUUAAUUCUUAAUUAAAUUGGGU